rnacentral:rRNA from 1 species
AUGGCUUUGGUCGCUCACUACAUAGAUGUCGAUUGGGUUAUGCAAUGUCGUGUCCUGAACUUUAUUGAGUUAGAUCCACCACAUUCAGGAAGCAUCAUAGCUCAAGCAAUAUUUGAAUGUUUAUGUGAAUGGAAAAUAGAGGACAAGGUCAUCUCAAUCACAGUUGACAAUGCUAGAAAUAAUGAUGGAGCUGUGAGGAAUUUGAUUAACAAGUUUGUUGCAAGGAAAGUACCUGGCUUCAUUUCCACACAUUUCCAUGUUCGUGGUUGUGCUCACAUAGUCAACUUGGUAGUGAAUGAUGGUUUGGAACCAUUGCAAGCUUUUAUUAGCUUGCUAAGGGAAACUGUGAAGUAUUUGAAGAAGUCUCCUAGUCGCAUGUAUAAAUUCCUUGAAGUUUGUAAAACACUGAAUAUAGAACCUGGGGCUGGAUUAUGUCUAGAUGUGUCAACAAGGUGGAAUUCAACAUACAAGAUGUUUGAUUCUUGUACUCCCUAUAGGCCUGUUUUUCAUGAAUAUGCAGACUCUGAUAUGAAUUACACGUGGGAGCCUUCUCAUGCAGAUUGGAAUAUGUAUUCCAAGGUGCAACCAAUCUUGACGCAAUUUGCUGAGAUAACUAAGGUGUUAUCAGGAUUUGUAUACCCUACUGCAAGUAUCUUUUACCCUUAUAUAGUGACUAUCAAAAUGGAGAUAGUGGCUGCAUGUCAUUCUAAAGAUAAGCAUCUAUCAGCUAUGGCGUACACAAUGAUAGAUAAAUUUGAUAAGUAUUGGGCGGAGAAAAACAAUGUUAUGGUUCUUGCUACUGUUUUAGAUCCUAGGUGGAAGAUGAGAUUUGUUGGUUACUGUUUUAGAAAGAUUUAUGGUGAAACCAAGGGCUGUGAGGAGGAAGCUGAGGUUAGAAAGGAGUUGUACGACCUAUAUGACACUUAUGAGGCUAAGUAUCGCCAAAAGAAUUUUGCUACUCAAAAUACUGGAGGUACAUCUUUGAGUAUGCAAUCAAGGGCAUCAACAACCACAGUACGACCAAGUGGUUUUCGGAACUAUCUACAAGCAACAGCUACAGAAGCAUCUAAAUCAGAAUUGCUCCUCUAUUUGGAUGAAGCAAAUGUAGAUCCCGAAGACACAACAUUUGUGUUACUUGAUUGGUGGAAGGUGAAUGCUCAUAGGUUCCCCGUUAUAUCCAAGAUGGCACGUAGAUUCUUGACUAUACCCGCUACUAGUGUUUCUUCCGAGUCAACUUUCUCUACAAGAGGUAGAAUCCUUGAUGAUUACCAGAGUUCUCUACGUCCAGCAAUGGUUGAGGCAUUAGUAUGUGCCUCUAGCUUCAUACGAGGUUCACACCAGGACAAUCAACCACCAAUAAUAGUGGAUGAGGAGGAGGAUGUUGAAUUCAUACCAUUUCCUAAGAGUGAGGUGGCAAGCUCUUGA